rnacentral:rRNA from 1 species
GCGAGAAAACUUUGCAAUGUGCGAAAGCACGACAAGGUUAAUCCGAGUGAUUUCUGCUAAAGAAAUCUUUUGCCAGUCAUAAAAUCACUGGUGAAUAAGGGGUGGGCAAGUUCUGGUGU